AUGACAAGGCGUCGUACUCGCCUUAGUUUAUUGAGUAAGGCGUCCGCCUUGGGCUGUAGGGCGUCUGAAUCGUCCGCCUUAGCCCCGCCUUGCACGCCUUGGCCCAAAUCAGACGCUCUGGUUUGUCAGGCAGGGGAAACAAAGAUUCCAGCGGGAAAAACUGGCCCACGCGGGAACACAAGCGCGGGAAAUAUUGGCCCACGCGCGAACAGUUACAAGGAGGGGAAAGAGAGAGAGAGAGAGAGAGAGAAUCGAACCAAUCGUGCAAAUCCUAGUCUCCAGGCGAGAGGUCUCUCUCCUAUUUCCUCUGGCGGCGGCUUCCUCCUCAGAUCUGCGCCAGCUUCCUCCUCUCCGGCUGCAGCUCCUCCCCCUCCCCCUCUCCAGUUGCAGCUCUUCCCUCUUCUCCUCUGGCGCAACCCUCUUCCACCAGAUCAGCACCAGAACAAGGUAUGGCUCCUGGCUCCUGUCCGGCUGCAGCUCCUCUCCCUCCUCCUCUGGCUCUUGUCUCUUCUCUUUCUUCCAUCCAGCAGCCACACCACCGCUUCUCUCCUUCCCCGUGCUUGA
rnacentral:rRNA from 1 species